rnacentral:rRNA from 1 species
GGGGAAUUUUGGACAAUGGGGGCAACCCUGAUCCAGCCAUGCCGCGUGAGUGAAGAAGGCCUUCGGGUUGUAAAGCUCUUUCAGCCGGGAAGAAAUCGGCGACUCUAACAUAGUCGCUGGAUGACGGUACCGGACUAAGAAGCACCGGCUAACUACGUGCCAGCAGCCGCGGUAAUACGUAGGGUGCGAGCGUUAAUCGGAAUUACUGGGCGUAAAGCGUGCGCAGGCGGUUUUGUAAGACAGAUGUGAAAUCCCCGGGCUUAACCUGGGAACUGCGUUUGUGACUGCAAGGCUAGAGUACGGCAGAGGGGGGUGGAAUUCCACGUGUAGCAGUGAAAUGCGUAGAGAUGUGGAGGAACACCGAUGGCGAAGGCAGCCCCCUGGGCCUGUACUGACGCUCAUGCACGAAAGCGUGGGGAGCAAAC